GAUGAAGAACGCAGCGAAAUGCGAUAAGUAGUGUGAAUUGCAGAAUUCAGUGAAUCAUCGAAUCUUUGAACGCACCUUGCGCCCUUUGGCUAUUCCGAAGGGCAUGCCUGUUUGAGUAUCAUGAACACCUCAACUCUCAUGGUUUUUCCAUGAUGGCUUGGACUUUGGGGGUCUUGCUGGCCUAUAGUCAGCUCCUCUUAAAUGAAUCAGCUUGCCAGUGUUUGGUGGCAUCACAGGUGUGAUAACUAUCUACGCUUGUGGUUUUCCAUCAAGUCACCUUCAGCGAUGGAGGUUCGCUGGGGCUCAUAAAGAAGGCCUCUCCUCGGUGAGGAUGGCUCCUUUGAACGUUUGAUCUCAAAUCAGGUAGGACUACCCGCUGAACUUAAGCAUAUCAAUAAGCGGAGGA
rnacentral:misc_RNA from 1 species